AACUGCUUUUGUAUGGGGAUAAAGUCAAUCACGUGUGAUUGUUUGCAGGUACCAUACGAAUAAGGACCGGCUAAUUCCGUGCCAGCAGCCGCGGUAAUACGGAAGGUCCGGGCGUUAUCCGGAUUUAUUGGGUUUAAAGGGAGCGUAGGCUGGAGAUUAAGUGUGUUGUGAAAUGUAGACGCCCAACGUCUGACUUGCAGCGCAUACUGGGUUCCUUGAGUACGCACAACGUUGGCGGAAUUCGUCGUGUAGCGGUGAAAUGCUUAGAUAUGACGAAGAACUCCGAUUGCGAAGGCAGCUGACGGGAGCGCAACUGACGCUGAAGCUCGAAGGUGCGGGUAUCGAACAGGAUUAGAUACCCUGGUAGUCC
rnacentral:rRNA from 1 species